AUCUGGCUGACGAGUCCCAGAUAGGACGAAACGCGCAUCCUGGAU
rnacentral:hammerhead_ribozyme from 1 species